UUUUUUUUUGUUUUAAUAUUUAUUUCAAUUGUUUUUGCGUCUGACCGGGGCUCUCCAGGACCCGCCGGCUCCGCGCCUGGGCGUCGCUGGAGUAGAGCCUGCACCUGUCACUUCGCUCGGGAGCAGGAGCCCCACCCGCCCGACACCUGUCAAGCCGCAGUCCAGACCCCUUCGGGAUGCCCUCCCCGUCGCCCGCGAGCCCAGGACCGUGUCACCGCGCCGCCGCCGUCCCGCGGAGGUGGGGGACCGAGGGGACUCCGGGGACCCCGGGCGCCGCUCCUAUCGCUUGCCCGGCCCCGCCGAGAUGCGC
rnacentral:lncRNA from 1 species